UACGAAGGGGCUAGCGUUGCUCGGAAUCACUGGGCGUAAAGGGUGCGUAGGCGGGUUUUAAGUCAGAGGUGAAAUCCGUGGAGCUCAACUCCAGAACUGCCUUUGAUACUGAGAAUCUUGAGUACGGGAGAGGUGAGUGGAACUGCGAGUGUAGAGGUGAAAUUCGUAGAUAUUCGCAAGAACACCAGUGGCGAAGGCGGCUCACUGGCC
rnacentral:rRNA from 1 species